rnacentral:rRNA from 1 species
UCGAGCGGACCGACGGGAGCUUGCUCCCUUAGGUCAGCGGCGGACGGGUGAGUAACACGUGGGUAACCUGCCUGUAAGACUGGGAUAACUCCGGGAAACCGGGGCUAAUACCGGAUGCUUGAUUGAACCGCAUGGUUCAAUCAUAAAAGGUGGCUUUUAGCUACCACUUACAGAUGGACCCGCGGCGCAUUAGCUAGUUGGUGAGGUAACGGCUCACCAAGGCGACGAUGCGUAGCCGACCUGAGAGGGUGAUCGGCCACACUGGGACUGAGACACGGCCCAGACUCCUACGGGAGGCAGCAGUAGGGAAUCUUCCGCAAUGGACGAAAGUCUGACGGAGCAACGCCGCGUGAGUGAUGAAGGUUUUCGGAUCGUAAAACUCUGUUGUUAGGGAAGAACAAGUACCGUUCGAAUAGGGCGGCACCUUGACGGUACCUAACCAGAAAGCCACGGCUAACUACGUGCCAGCAGCCGCGGUAAUACGUAGGUGGCAAGCGUUGUCCGGAAUUAUUGGGCGUAAAGCGCGCGCAGGCGGUUUCUUAAGUCUGAUGUGAAAGCCCCCGGCUCAACCGGGGAGGGUCAUUGGAAACUGGGGAACUUGAGUGCAGAAGAGGAGAGUGGAAUUCCACGUGUAGCGGUGAAAUGCGUAGAGAUGUGGAGGAACACCAGUGGCGAAGGCGACUCUCUGGUCUGUAACUGACGCUGAGGCGCGAAAGCGUGGGGAGCGAACAGGAUUAGAUACCCUGGUAGUCCACGCCGUAAACGAUGAGUGCUAAGUGUUAGAGGGUUUCCGCCCUUUAGUGCUGCAGCAAACGCAUUAAGCACUCCGCCUGGGGAGUACGGUCGCAAGACUGAAACUCAAAGGAAUUGACGGGGGCCCGCACAAGCGGUGGAGCAUGUGGUUUAAUUCGAAGCAACGCGAAGAACCUUACCAGGUCUUGACAUCCUCUGACAACCCUAGAGAUAGGCUUCCCCUUCGGGG